GUGCUCACUUUGGCAGCACAUAUACUAAAAUUGGAAUGAUACAGAGAAGAUUUGCAUGGUCCCUGAACAUGGAUGACAUGCAAAUUCAUGAAGCAUUCCAUAAUUUU
rnacentral:snRNA from 1 species